rnacentral:rRNA from 1 species
AGAGUUUGAUCAUGGCUCAGGACGAACGCUGGCGGCGUGCCUAAUACAUGCAAGUUGAGCGCUGAAGGUUGGUACUUGUACCGACUGGAUGAGCAGCGAACGGGUGAGUAACGCGUGGGGAAUCUGCCUUUGAGCGGGGGACAACAUUUGGAAACGAAUGCUAAUACCGCAUAAAAACUUUAAACACAAGUUUUAAGUUUGAAAGAUGCAAUUGCAUCACUCAAAGAUGAUCCCGCGUUGUAUUAGCUAGUUGGUGAGGUAAAGGCUCACCAAGGCGAUGAUACAUAGCCGACCUGAGAGGGUGAUCGGCCACAUUGGGACUGAGACACGGCCCAAACUCCUACGGGAGGCAGCAGUAGGGAAUCUUCGGCAAUGGACGAAAGUCUGACCGAGCAACGCCGCGUGAGUGAAGAAGGUUUUCGGAUCGUAAAACUCUGUUGGUAGAGAAGAACGUUGGUGAGAGUGGAAAGCUCAUCAAGUGACGGUAACUACCCAGAAAGGGACGGCUAACUACGUGCCAGCCGCCGCGGUAAUUC